CGCUAUCAUUGUCAGGUCGAGGGUGGAGUUGUUGAAGACGGAAGCGAGGGUAGCGAAGGCAAAGGCAGUGAGAGUGGAAAAGAUGAAGGCAUUCAUUCAUUACCGUCAAUCACCUAUUGGUAGAGGCAAUGAGGGUGGUGAAGGCAAAGGGUUCGUUGCCAUAGUGAAUCGCCGGUUGGCAGACGCAAUGAGUUAAUGAGGGUGACAGAGGCGAAGGCUUUGAUAAACAGUACUGAUGGACCAA
rnacentral:lncRNA from 1 species